rnacentral:misc_RNA from 1 species
AACGGGGCGUUCGAACACCAAACGUGCUGUUGCGACGGAUCACCUUUCUCGCUGUAUGGGGUCGAGGGACAGCUCGUCGAUAGCGUACCGUGAUUGCAAGAGCUCGUCGUCUCGAAAGAUAUCGAUGAUUUCACGAUGAUGUACCCCAGUCGCUUCAAUGUUGGCUUUUUGUCAAUUUGCUCGAAGAGCGACGAGAAAUACGCCUUGGCUUCGUCGUCAUCGGCGAGAAACCCUUCAAGCGCCAUAAUGUCCCAUCCUACAGCGUCGAUGGAGACCUGAGAUACUUCAGCGUGCUCAAGAAACAGAGCGAUAGCAAUCAGACGACACAUUGC